CCUGAAACCGCGGCACACGAAACUGGAGAAAACCAACCCAGAACGCGUACACUGCACCUCCGGCCGCGAUGACCGACGGCACUCCAGGCUCCCGGCACGGCCCCACCUCCGAGGUGUCAGCUCGGGAUGGAAGCUCCGCGGAGCCUGCGGCGCGGCGGGAAUGGGCGCACUUUUCGCGGUGUGAGACGCGUACCGGCUGCCGAGGUGGUGGCCGAUGCGGAGGGAAACUUGCGGUAUAGCCGCGUCCGGGGAGCUGGCAGCGUUUAGCCGGGGCAGCGCCGGCGGUGUCUGCCUCUGGUGCCCGUGCUGAAGCAUCAGAUCCCCCUACUUUAGCUGUCUCCUGCUAGCCUUCGCUCGCGAUGGAGCGCUACACGAUUUGCUAGCUGAAAUUUUCACCCAUGCUCGUGGAUGGUCGAUGAACACUUAAAUGUAAUUGCGUUUUUCUCCUUUAUGCUUGAUAGAGAGAAAGGGGCAGAGCCGUCUAUUACGAAUGUGAUGGCUGAAACACAGAGUGUUGGGACAGAAAUGCAGAAGAAAUGCUAGAGGUGCUUUUGUUUUGGAGCUGAGCAAGGGCUUGGAACCCAAAAGGUUAUUUAUUUACGUGUUUGUUUAUUUUUAAGCCGCAUUAGAUGACAUACCAGUGUAAUCUAAUGAGUUUUGCUUUACAGAUGCUCCAGAGCAGUCCCAGCUGCACUAACCCUCUUCCCCCGGUAGUUCUUUAGCAGCCUUCUGUGCCCUACUCGUGGCUGGGGCUGGAUUUCCCGAAGUGCUUGGUGCUGUAACUGAAAUUUUUAGGCUAUGUAAAAUUUUCAGAUUAUUUUUCAUUAAGAUGGGAGCACUGCAGUAUCAGUACUCAGGAGAGCAAUGAAAAUCUGCAGGAUACUAAUGUUUCACUGGUAAGUACCCUCAUGAGAACUGUGUCUCUGGAUAAGAAUCAAAUUCUGCAUCCCAUUCAAGACGCUUUCCCUUCUGCUGGAUCUUGCCUGCUUGAUGAAAACUUUGCAUUAGCCACAUCAGAGCUGUCAUGAACACAAAAUUAUCUAUGCUGAUUUUAGCUUUAUUUUACUAGGAAUUAGCUCAUUUUUACUUGGAAACAGUUGAACGGAAAGUAACUUGGUAGCUGAAAUAAAAAUGGUGCUGGAGAAGAA